rnacentral:rRNA from 1 species
GACGAACGCUGGCGGCGCGCCUAACACAUGCAAGUCGAACGGAAAGGCCUGCUUUCCCUUGUGGAUUGCGGGUACUCGAGUGGCGAACGGGUGAGUAACACGUGAGUGAUCUGCCCCCAACUUGGGUAUAAGCCUGGGAAACUGGGUCUAAUUCCCGAUAGGACUGCAGGGUGGUGCCUGUGGUGGAAAACGAUUUUCUAGUGGUUGGGGAUGAGCUCGCGGCCUAUCAGCUUGUUGGUGGGGUAAUGGCCUACCAAGGCGGCGACGGGUAGCCGGCCUGAGAGGGUGGACGGCCACAUUGGGACUGAGAUACGGCCCAGACUCCUACGGGAGGCAGCAGUGGGGAAUAUGGCACAAUGGGCGGAAGCCUGAUGCAGCGACGCCGCGUGGGGGAUGACGGCCUUCGGGCUGUAAACUCCUUUCGACCGCGAGGAAGCCACCUGGUUGGAAGGGUGGUGACGGUAGUGGUAGAAGAAGCACCGGCUAACUACGUG